UAGUAAUGGCAGGUCAGCAUACUGCCGUGAAUACGUUCCCGGGCCUUGUACACACCGCCCGUCACACCAUGAGAGUUGGGAAUACCCGAAGCCUGUGAGCUAACAUUUAUGAGGCAGCAGUCGAAGGUAGAAUCAAUGAUUGGGGUGAAGUCGUAACAAGGUACC
rnacentral:rRNA from 1 species